AUUGAACGCUGGCGGCAGGCCUAACACAUGCAAGUCGAGCGGAUGAAGCGAGCUUGCUCCUGGAUUCAGCGGCGGACGGGUGAGAAAUGCCCAGGAAUCUGCCUGGUAGCGGGGGAUAACGUCCGGAAACGGGCGCUAAUACCGCAUACGUCCUGAGGGAGCAUUUGGGUGAUCUUCGGACCUCACGCCAUCAGAUGAGCCUAGGUCGGAUUAGCUAGUUGGUGGGGUAAAGGCUUACCAAGGCGACGAUCCGUAACUGGUCUGAGAGGGAGAUCAGUCACACUGGAACUGAGACAGAGUCCAGACUCCGACGGUAGGAAACGGUGGAGAAUAUUGGGCGAUGAGCGAGAGGGUGAUCUAGCCAAGCCGCGUGAGUGAAGAAGGUCUUCGGAUGGGAAAGCACUGUAAGUUGUGGGGAAGGACAGUAAGUUAAUACCUUGCUGUUUUGACGUUACCAACAGAAUAAGCACCGGCUAACUUCGUG
rnacentral:rRNA from 1 species